AGAGUUUGAUCCUGGCUCAGAAUGAACGCUAGUGGUUAGCAUAACACAUGCAAGUUAAAAGAACUUAUUUUCAUAUAAGUUAUUAGCAAACGGGUGAGUAAUGUACGGAAAUAAGCCUCAAGAAAUUGUUAGAUACAACCAAAAUUGAUUUGUGUUGAGAAAAGUCUGUAUAAGAUUAAGUUGUUGGUGGUUUAAUAGUUUACCAAGCUUACGAUCUUUAGUUGGUCUAUGAGGAUGAACAACCACAUUGGAACUGAGACACGGUCCAAACUUCACCAGAAGGCAGCAGUGAGGAAUCUUGGGCAAUGAGUGAAAGCUUGACCCAGCUAAACCACAAGUGUGAUGAAGGUAAAAAACUGUAAAGCACUUUAUUUUAAGAUAAACAAUGAUUUCUUAACAAAAAAGUCCUGGCUAAUUUCGUGCCAGCAGCCGCGGUAAAACGAGAAGGGCAAGCGUUAUUCGAAUUAAUUGGGCGUAAAGCAUACGUAGGUGGAAAAUUAAAUUCUAAUUUAAAGUUUAAAGUUCAUUUUUAAACAGAUUAUUAAACUAAUUUUCUAGAGUUCAAAAGAAGAUUACGGAACUUUAAGAGUAACGGUAAAAUGUUUUGAUUCUUAAAAGAACUUCGACAGCAAAAGCAGUAAUCCAGAUUAAAACUGACAUUGAGGUAUUAAAGUGUGGGUAGCAAAAGGGAUUAGAUACCCCUGUAGUCCACACCCUGAACGAUAAGUGUUUAUUUUCGGAAAGUUCGAAAGUGUAGCUAACGCGUUUAACACUUCGCCUGGGAACUACGACUGCAAAGUUAAAACUCAAAGGAAUUGACGGGAACUUACACAAGCAGUGGAGCAUGUGGUUUAAAUCGACAAUACGCGCGAAACCUUACCAACUUUUGUAUAACUUCAUUAGUUACAGGUGUUGCAUGGCUGUCGUCAGUCCGUGCUGUGAAGCGUUUGGUUAAUUCCAACAAACGGACAAAACUCUUGUAAAUUUUUGAAUUUAGAUCGCCGAAGAUAUCUCGGAGGAAGGAAAGAAUGACGCCAAGUCCUCAUGACCCUAAUAAGUUGGGCUACUUUCAUGUGCUACAAUAAUUCUAUCAAAAAGAAGCGUAAAUGUUAGUUUUAGCCAAUCUUUCAAAUAGAAUUCAAUAUUCAGAUUAUUUUCUGAAACUCGAAAAUAUGAAGUUGGAAUUGCUAGUAAUCGUAAAUCAGAAUGUUACGGUGAAUCUGUUCUUAGGUUUUGUACACACCGCCCGUCACGCUAUGGAAAUUCUCUUUAUUUGAAGAUCAAGACUUUGAUUUAUAGUAAAAGAAAAACUGAAGUGAAGUCGUAACAAGGUAGCCGUAGGGGAACCUGCGGCUGGAAAAUAA
rnacentral:rRNA from 1 species